rnacentral:lncRNA from 1 species
UGUGCGUAUAAAUACCAUAGUACACUCUAGUGCCAUGCUGGGGAUGACAACCUAGUAUUCAAGUGGUGUUAGCAAGUGUCAACAUGUGACAAUCUCAAUCUGCAUCGCCGUUUCCUCUGCCUGAUCAAUUGAUGGCCAGAAUGCCCUUAGUGGCUGUGGCUGCCGCUGGAGGAUGCUAGUGUCUCGUUGACCUGUGGCCAACUGGGACAGGACUCUGGCAAUCCCACCAUGGUCAUCACGGCCGCGGCGGGGCCAAGGGACGGGAAUAAUACAUUGUUUUUUUCUUAUUUUUCUCUUUUCUUGCUAGACUACAAAUUUGUUUUCUUCCUCCCGUGCGGAAGUGUGGGGUUACCUAUUAUAUGGAUAAGUUCAUAAAAAAAUUAUGCGACAACGUCGCAUAUUGCCUUGCAUGUGACACAGUCUGCUUGUUUUAUGCAUGUCCCAAGGACCACUAGUCCAAACAAUAAUCAGCCCCGCAUGAUAGAGCCGAUGGGCCUGAGCCGAUACUGCCUUGCAUGGGACACCUAUUAUAGAUUUUUCGCCCUCCAUCUCGUGUUUGGCGCACUAGGUGGGGAAUGUGGAAUGGGUAACACUAAAUUGGAUUGUUUCGUCUGGUUCUUUUCAUUCUAUUAUUCUACAAAAUAAAAAAAAGUUUAUAUUAUCGUAGAAAGAUUCUUGUUCAGAGUUUUAGAAAUGCAUGGUAUGCUUAUACAUUUAUAUUAAACUAUGUUAUUGAUUGACUGAUCAACCUCGCAGUUGCAAAUGAUGGC